AUGACCAACAGAAAGGGAAGAGGGGUACUUCCUAUGUGUUCUCUAGGACUUUUAGGAAACAUGGAGUUGUUCCUUUGGCCACAUACAUGGGAAUUUACAAGAAGGAUGAUAUUGUAGACAUGAAGGGGAUGGGCACUAUUCAAAAAGGAAUGCCCCAUAACUGUUACCUCAGAAAAAACAGGAAGAGUCUACAGUGUCACCCAGCAUGUCAUUGGCAUCAUUGCAAAAGAGCAACUUAAGGAGAGGAUCAAUGUGCAGGUUGAGCUCAUCCAGCACUCAAAGAUCAGAGACAGCUUCUUGAAGCAGGUGAAGGAGAAGAAUCAGAAGAAAAAGGAAGCUGAAGAGAAGGGCUCCUGGAUUCAGUGGAAGUGCCAGCCUGUGCCACCCAGAGAAGCACACGUUGUGAGGACUGAUGGAAAGGAGCCUGAGCUGCUGGAAAUCAUUCCAUAUGAACUCAUGGCC
rnacentral:lncRNA from 1 species